rnacentral:rRNA from 1 species
CCUACGUGAUGCAGCAGUGAGGAAUAUUGGUCAAUGGGCGAGAGCCUGAACCAGCCAAGUCGCGUGAAGGAUGACGGCCCUCCGGGUUGUAAACUUCUUUUGUCAGGGAGCAAUUGAGUCCACGUGUGGUCUUAGCGUGAGUACUUGUAGAAAAAGCAUCGGCUAACUCCGUGCCAGCAGCCGCGGUAAUACGGAGGUUGCGACCGUUAUCCGGAUUUUUUGGGUUUAAAGGGUGCGCAGGCGGAAGUUCAAGUCAGCGGUAAAAUUGAGAGGCUCAACCUCGUCGAGCCGUUGAAACUGGGUGUCUUGAGUGGGAGAGAAGUAUGCGGAAUGCGUGGUGUAGCGGUGAAAUGCAUAGAUAUCACGCAGAACUCCGAUUGCGAAGGCAGCAUACCGGCGCUCAACUGACGCUCAUGCACGAAAGUGUGGGUAUCGAACAGGAUUAGAUACCCCAGUAGUC